rnacentral:rRNA from 1 species
UGGGGAAUCUUGCACAAUGGAGGAAACUCUGAUGCAGCGAUGCCGCGUGAGUGAAGAAGGCCUUUGGGUUGUAAAGCUCUUUUGUAGGGGAAGAUAAUGACUGUACCCUAAGAAUAAGGUCCGGCUAACUUCGUGCCAGCAGCCGCGGUAAUACGAAGGGACCUAGCGUAGUUCGGAAUUACUGGGCGUAAAGCGCGCGUAGGCCGUUGAGUUAGUUAAUUGUGAAAUCCCAAAGCUUAACUUUGGAACUGCAAUUAAAACUGCUCGACUGGAGUUUGAUAGAGGAAAGCGGAACACAUAGUGUAGAGGUGAAAUUCGUAGAUAUUAUGUAGAACACCAGUUGCGAAGGCGGCUUUCUGGAUCAACACUGACGCUGAGGCGCGAAAGUAUGGGUAGCAAAGAGGAUUAGAUACCCUCGUAGUCCAUACCAUAAACGAUGAUUGCUAGAUGUUGGAAAUUUAUUUUCAGUAUCGCAGCUAACGCAUUAAGCAAUCCGCCUGGGGAGUACGACCGCAAGGUUA